GCGCAGCCGGAAGGGUGACUUCUGAUAGUGAGGGUGUUACAAUAAAUGUAGAUAAAAUUUAGUUAUAUUAUUUAUAUAUAGUUUUAUUGUAUUGUAUUGC